UUUGUAUGUUUGGUUAUAAGCGAGCCGGCUGGAUGUAUUAUUUCUAUUUCAUGUCUGCAGGAGAUGUCAACAUAAACUUGUUUGGUUGUAAAAUGAAUCAAAAAGAAAUAAUUACGUUGGCAGCAAUGUCUGCUGCUUUCGCUUGCUUUUCUCUUUGUCUAACUGCCUCAAAAGGUCAGUUUAGGAACAAAUAGUUUGCACGACUUUGGAAAACCCUAUACUAUGUGUUGAAGCUGUGUUAGAGUGCUUGGUACUUUAUAGUAUUUCUAGGCACCCAGACUGAUGCUGUCUCUCCAGACUUCAGAGACGUGGGCACUGCAACUGACACUGAGGACUGUGGCAGCAGCUUUUUGAGGCACUCUACCCCCACCAAAAUUCGGCGGAUUAGUGAGGAGUUCAUCAUUCCUGAAGAUUUGAACUCCUCUUAUGAGUCGUCUGCUUGUGACACAAGUGCUGGGAGCUUCAUCAUUCCUGAAAAUUUGGACUCCUCUUAUGAGCCAUCUGCUUGUGACACAAGUGCUGGGAGCUUCAACUGUGCACUUGAAGACGCUGUGGACACUUCCGGCCCUCUGGAGGAGCCAAAAUACAUUGUCUUUGAGAGCAUGUUGUUGGAACUGUUUUCCAAGUGCAGUGUGUGCCUCAGGCAAACAAGCAUCCAGACAGAAGUCAAAGGCACAGCACUUGAGGUUUUUACGCUCUGUCCCAACCUGCAUAAAUUCGUUUGGUGCAGUCAACCAAAAAUUGGGCAGUAUGCAGCGGGAAAUGUCCUGCUUGCAGCAGGCAUCCUAUUCUCCGGCCUGAACGCAGCCAAGUCUUUGCGGCUGCUGUCGUCCAUAAAGGUGGCUACCAUCACAGAAAGGACAUUCUUUCGCCACCAGCAGAACCUGUUGAUUCCAUCUGUGCAGAAAGUAAGGACUCAAUCGUGCGACAUCUAAUCUCCAUGGCAUUGCAACUAUUAGCUUGGUGAUGUGCAGUGUUUUCUUGAUUGUGCAAAGAGAAAUGAGAAUUCAAAAUUAUUUCAAAAAUUAUUUCCAAACCAAAUUCAGAGCAGUUAGAUGCUGUGUGUGGGUGCAAGUUUGCAUUUUUGCACCCUUGCAUUUUUUUGCAGCACUGUCAUGGCAGAAAUUGCACAUUUAUGUGUUACGAAAGUCUGUGCAUUCGGUAAACAUAUAUGGUAAGCAACUUGGGACUGAACAGAAAGUGAAAUUAGAAUGAAAUUUACAACCUCUUGCAUGGCAGUUGCAGUGUCUACUGUGUCAACAUGUGAUUACUAUAACACUCAUUUUUUUACUCACUACGAUUUUUUAAGGUUUGGAAAGAGGAGCAGGAAGGGCUCCUUUCAGCUGCUGUGGGAAGGGACAUGGUCAUAGCUGGCGAUGGCCGUUCAGACUCUCCUGGAUUUUCUGCCAAGUUUGGCACAUAUUCCAUGCUGGAUGUGACCGCUAACAAGAUCAUUCAUCUUGAGCUGGUGCAGUCAAACGAGGUUGGCGGAAGCUGCCACAUGGAGCUCGAAGGCCUUAAGCGUGGCCUCAACUACCUGCAAGGACGAAGAGUGAAAGUUUCUACUCUGAUAACAGAUAGGCAUGCACAAAUCCGAAAGUACCUCGCCAACAACCACAGUGACACGGACCACAGAUAUGAUGUGUGGCAUGUCGGAAAAGGAAUCAAGAAGAAGCUUAUAGCGGCGUCAAAACGAUUCAAGGACAGUGACAUCAUCCUUGUUUGGGUGAAAUCAAUUGUAAGCCACCUCUACUACUGCGCUUGCACCAGCAAUGGAGAUGGGUAGCUGAUUGUGGCGAAGUGGCUCUCAAUCUUGAACCACAUUUCGAAUGUGCACAGCGGACAUUCACCCAUUUUUCCAACUUGUGAGCAUGGCCCUCUGGAACGGCGCAGAUGGAUAAAGCAAGGCACACGGGCACACGACCAAGUGGCUGCAAUUGUAGCUGCUAAGAGACUGGUCACAGAUGUGAGGCAGUUGUCGACAAAGGGGCAGACAUUUCAUGCCUGCCUUAUACACUUUGCCCCCAAAUCUACAGCCUAUACCUAUGAAGUCAUGGCAGCCAGGCUAUGUGACUCGUUUGCUGCAGUGUGCUGUGGAGUAUGCUCAAGCUACACCAGUUCUCAACAGGAGCACCCCACCACCACCACCUCUGAGCAAGAGCUAUCCCGAAGUUCCAACCCAGGAAUUGGUGCAGAAGCGAAGGCAUCGGUAUAGCCUGUGCUGACAAAAAACUGCACCACACAGCUUGGAAGAGGCUUUCUGUUAUAUCUGCCCAGCUUGUGCCAAAUCCAUCUUGCAAAACAGAUGUACGCUGUGUUCCUGUACCUCCUGCAAUAAAAGAAUAAAUUACUACCCUAUUCACGUGCUUGCUGCUGUUUUUUAUCAAGUGAAACACAUAGUGAUUUACACAUAAUAAAAAUUCUUGCAACUUAGUUGAUAUGAGAGCUACCGCAUGGUUGAAUAUGAAGGGUCGCUGCAGUCACUUAUUACAGUACCUGUGUAUGUCAACAGCUUGGAUUUGUUCCUGAUUUAAAGCCAUCAUAU